rnacentral:rRNA from 1 species
CUACGGGUGGCAGCAGUGAGGAAUAUUGGUCAAUGGGCGGGAGCCUGAACCAGCCAAGUCGCGUGAGGGAAGACGGUCCUAUGGAUUGUAAACCUCUUUAGGCGGGGAGCAAUGCCGGGCACGCGUGCCCGGAGGGAGAGUACCCGCAGAAUAAGUAUCGGCUAACUCCGUGCCAGCCGCCGCGGUAAUACGGAGGAUGCGAGCGUUAUCGGGAUUCAUUUGGCUUAACGGGAGCGUGGGCGGGCGGUCAAGUCAGCUGUAAAAUCGCGCGGCGCAACCGGGCCCCGCAGUUGAAACUGGACGCCUUGAGGGCACAACAGGCAGGCGGAAUUCGUGGUGUAGCAGUGAAAUGCAUAGAUAUCACGAGGAACCCCGAUUGCGAAGGCAGCCUGCCGGGGUGCGACUGACGCUGAGGCUCGAAGGUGCGGGUAUCAAACAGGAUUAGAUACCCUAGUAGUC